AGAGUUAAACAGUACGUGAAAUUGUUGAAAGGGAAACGAUUGAAGCCAGUCGUACCGACGGAAAAUCAACUUUUUGGGUGCCUAUCGUGGGUGACGUUGAGCUUCACGGUCUUCGUUGCUUAUGUUGUUGGUGCCUUUGGGGUGUACUUUUUCGUAUGGUAGGUCAACAUCGAUUUUGAUCGUCAUAAAAUGAUCGGAGGAAUGUAGCUUCGAUUUCGAUCGGAGUGUUAUAGCCUUUGGUAGAUGUGACGAUUGGGAUCGAGGAUUGCAACGAAUACCCUUUGGGCUAUCCUUCUGACCUCUGAUGGUAGGCUUGGGUGUUGAAAGCUUGCUUAUAGCAUUCGAGUCGGCGGUCAAUAGGUUAGAACGCGAUUACAUUCGUUAAGGAUGUUGACGUAAUGGCUUUAAACGACC
rnacentral:rRNA from 1 species